AGAGAAUCCCAACAAGCAAGAAAAGAAGAUAGCAGAAUGGUGUUUGAAAAUAAAGAUACAAACCGGUUGGCAAGUUUAAAAGCGAUAUGUCUAUUGUAACUGCUUCAUAUAGAAUUAUCAAAUGGUUCGGUAUCAUGGAGCUUAGCCACUAGACCAGCAGUGUUUGGAAAAGAUGUUGAAUUACACUGUAAUAUGGAUGAUAAUACUACAAUCAACAAUCACAGACAUUGGAGUAAAGGAGACAACGUUAGAGAAUUGGUGGUAAAUGGCAAGACUGUAAACGAUACAAAAUAUUCAGAAAAGUUAGACGAGGCAAACCGUACAUCGAUUUUAACUAUUACGUCAUUAGAAUCUGGUGACGUGAACGUGCCAUAUACAUGCCAACAUGGUUUUCAUACGUACAAGAAAGUUUUAAAUAUGACCGUGGAAAACUUCGAAAAUCAUCCAAACAGCAACAACACUAUUUUCAAGCAAGAUGACGACCAUAUAUUAUUUUUAAUGAAAUUUGAAAAAGUGUUUCCAUUUCCAGCUUGCAGAGCGUCUAUUGGGGGUAAAAAUAUAACGCAAUUGUUGAACAUAAGUUCCGUUCGAAAUCAUGUAUUUUACAAAGUUGAAAUUAGCCUGAAAUAUCAUCACAUCUCGAAAAAUUGCAUUCAUCAUCCGUUAGAGCUGGACUGCUGCGUCUGCACAAAGACUAUCAAACAACGUUUUGAAACAGCGAAUGAAGUGUGUCUUGAGAUUGAACAAAACAAGUACAUCAGGAUCAAGACAAAGACCAGACUUUUGGACUCUUGGGACGUGCGGUAUUUGUACUUUUACUAGUAGUGGUUGUUGGCAGUUUCAUUGUUAGUAUUGUCAUCGACAAAUGUGGAAAAUGUACUUGACAAUUUGAUAAAAAACAAUUUUACAUUCUAUGUAGCUUUUCAAAUUGGUUUUGUUUACAGUGAACCCGAAUACGUUACUAUUAAAAUAGAACAUGCAUUUAUCUAAUGAAUUUAAGACUCAUAUAAUCAAUGAAUCUGUAAAAAUUACAAAAUAUAGCAAUGCUAUAAUGGAGCAAAUUUUCUUAAAAAGCAGAUGUGACUUUUAAUAUUUAAGUUCAAACUUUUUAAUUACUAUUAACGCAUCUAGUAAGAUCUGAUGCAAUAAAUAAAUUAUCAAUUUGUCAAAUCUUUAGCAGUCAUACUAUUUCCUUACUUGGAGAGACAUGUAAUUGUUAUUGUUUAGUUCAUCUCUUGCGUUCGUCGUCGUGGUGCAUUCGUCUGUCGUUUUAAACCAGGUUUAAUCAACCAUUGUCUACCUAAGAAAAUGUCUGUACCAGGAUUAUGACAGAUGUUAUCCAUUCGUUUGAUGUGUUUGAGCUUUCGAUUUUGCCAUUUGAUUAGGAACUUUUCUCGGUGUUCGGUAUUUUUGAUAUUUUACUUUUUAAACUUUUUCAAAUGUCGCCUUUUUUUAAAAUAUUCUUCUUGAUAUUACCAAACUUUCUUUUAAUGUUCCUUACGCGAUCUUGUUUAAAAAUAAUAUAUCGUCAGGGUCUAUCUUCUAUGGAGUAAUUUGAAAAAUGUUUGCAAUUUUUCUUUUUUUUAUUAUCUUUAAAACUCUUACAGAGAGACAAACACUUAAAUAGUAUAAAGUGCAAAGCUAAUGAGACCUUACACAUAAGUGAACAUACCCGAAAUCGUUAAUUGGUUCCUAUAUAUAGAGUUAUUGAAUUUAAUUAAAGAGAUCAUUUUUACCCUUUUGUCAUAUUUGCAAAAACGAUAUACAUGAUAUGCUUAAUAUAAUUUACGUAUGAGUCUAAUUUGUAAAUUGGCUCUUUUAUGAGUUAUUGCACUUAAAAGACAAAAGUUUACCUUGUUUUUGUUUUCUUGAUGAAAUUAUUAUACUUUGUAUAGAACCAAAUUUUCCAAAGCAAAAAUGUUCUGCCAAAAAUGACUUUCGAAACCGGCAAUUGACCGUUUAUAGGAGUUAUUAUCCUUUGAAGAAAAUAUUUACCCCUUUUACGGUAUUUGCAGAAACUGUAAUAGAAAGAAACAAAUUGUAAUAGGGAUAAUGAUCGGCAAAAUAAGGUUUAUAAAUUAGUCAACAAUUUCUGAAAUUUUCCUUAUUAUAGUUGUGUUCUUGAAAAAUAAUGGUCACCUUUUUUUGGUCGAAACUAUAUAAAAAACAAAGAGUGAUUGUAGCUAGUAAAACAUGUUCAACAUCAUAAGAUCUAUAAUAUAGUUAUCCUUAAACCGUUUAUUUACUCCAGAUAUUAAAAUAAUAAAAAAAAUUAGAUGCCCAGUAAAACUCAUUCAAUAAGUUUGGAAAUUUACUUAGUCAAUGAUUAUUAUAGUAAAUAGGAUUGUGUACUAAAAUGUGUAAGAGAAGAGGGGCGAAAAAUACAAGAGGGGCAGUCAAACUCAUAGAUAGAAAAUAAACUGAAAACGCCAUGGCUAAAAAUAAAAAAACACAACAGACCACGUUUAAUGGUCGCACAUUUUCUUUAAAUUUUGAAACUGAUAUCAAAUGAAAAACAAACAGCAUUAUCUAUUUACUCACAUGAAACAAACCGGGAUGCGAUAUUCAGUACGUAGGUGAAACUGGACGAUAUUUAUCAAAACGCACACAAGACCACCUGUAUCGUUUUAAAAGACCCAAUGAAUUCAAAAGUAUCAUUUAUCAACACAGUAAGAAGCACAAUCAUCCUAUCAAAUAUUUAACAGUUCAACCUUUAGAAGUAGUGAAUAAGCAGCCUGGUGAAUCUCAUUCAAAGUUUGUACGAUCACGGAAAAUAAUUGAAUUAAAUUGGAUUAAAUAAAUACAGACAGUCUACCCUCUCGGUCUUAAUGAUAAUAUCAUAGGAAUUGGUAAUAUAUCAAGAACCGAUUCUAUUAACAUUUUGGAUAUAGUUUCUAAAACUGUUCGUAAAAACCGUUCUCAUGGGCGUAGAAAAAAUCGCAAUCAAAGAAAAUUUCGGACCAACUAUACAAAUAUUUUGGACCUUAUUUCUAUUUCAAAAAACAACGGCAGACAUUAUCUGUUAACCAAGCUCUGUUAUUUACCUGUAAAUAGAUUAAAUAAAAUUUUAGAGGAUUGCAACAUAAUUCCAUAUUGCAGUCCUAAGUAUGAAAUCGUUCAAAUUAUGAUAGCAUAUUGUUAUUCUAGUCUGUUCCCCAAAAUUGAUCGCCCUGAAGAUCGUUCUGUUAAAGAACAAAUUCCUGGAUAUUUUGAUAAUACUGAACUCCCUCUUAUUUGUUAUGUUUACAAGAAACCUUCCCGAAAAUAUGUGCUUAAUUAUAGCCAAGUGUGUAAAGAUGUAAAUAUCAGUGAAAAUACACCUACGUCAUGUAAUUGCAGUAAUUUCGAAAACAUUUAUGGCCCCAUUUCCCAUGUUAUAACAGGAGACCUUAACAUCGUUCGCGACCGAGAGUUAAAUUCGUUCCUCAGUAAAGGACCUAAAUAUCGUCCCCCGUCAAUUAUUAAUUGGAAUGAGUGUCAUCCACGACUCACUCCGUACUUACUGUUUGAAAUGGAUAAAACGAGAAAAAGCUGACAAAAAAUCUUUGGACUCUUUUUUUAAUUCAGUAAUGAACAUAGUUGAUAUACGUAUACAACAUUUUAAAGAAUAUUUUACUCUUAACAACAACCAUAAAAACCCCAUUCCUCGUAUCAAACAUAAACUAAAAGAACUAGCCAAGGAAUUUGUUUUUGUCCCGG